rnacentral:rRNA from 12 species
CUGGCGGCAGGCUUAACACAUGCAAGUCGAACGAGAAGCACCCUUCGGGGUGUGGAAAGUGGCAGACGGGUGAGUAACGCGUGGGAAUAUACCUAGAGGUACGGAACAACGCCGGGAAACUGGUGCUAAUACCGUAUGUGCCCUUCGGGGGAAAGAUUUAUCGCCUUUAGAUUAGCCCGCGUUAGAUUAGCUUGUUGGUGAGGUAAAAGCUCACCAAGGCGACGAUCUAUAGCUGGUCUGAGAGGAUGAUCAGCCACACUGGGACUGAGACACGGCCCAGACUCCUAC